rnacentral:rRNA from 1 species
ACUGAACGCUGGCGGCAUGCCUUACACAUGCAAGUCGAACGGCAGCACGGGGCAACCUGGUGGCGAGUGGCGAACGGGUGAGUAAUGCAUCGGAACGUACCUUUCAGUGGGGGAUAACGUAGCGAAAGUUACGCUAAUACCGCAUAUUCUGUGAGCAGGAAAGCAGGGGAUCGCAAGACCUUGCGCUGAUUGAGCGGCCGAUGGCAGAUUAGCUAGUUGGUGAGGUAAAGGCUCACCAAGGCGACGAUCUGUAGCGGGUCUGAGAGGAUGAUCCGCCACACUGGAACUGAGACACGGUCCAGACUCCUACGGGAGGCAGCAGUGGGGAAUUUUGGACAAUGGGGGCAACCCUGAUCCAGCCAUGCCGCGUGAGUGAAGAAGGCCUUCGGGUUGUAAAGCUCUUUCGGCCGGGAAGAAAUCGCACGGGCUAAUACCCUGUGUGGAUGACGGUACCGGAAUAAGAAGCACCGGCUAACUACGUGCCAGCCGCCGCGGUAAGAC